rnacentral:rRNA from 1 species
AGCGAACGCUGGCGGCAGGCCUAACACAUACAAGUCGAACGAACUCUUCGGAGUUAGUGGCGGACGGGUGAGUAACACGUGGGAACGUGCCUUUUGGUUCGGAAUAACCCAGGGAAACUUGUGCUAAUACCGAAUGUGCCCUUCGGGGGAAAGAUUUAUCGCCAUUAGAGCGGCCCGCGUCUGAUUAGCUAGUUGGUGAGGUAACGGCUCACCAAGGCGACGAUCAGUAGCUGGUCUGAGAGGAUUACCAGCCACACUGGGACUGAGACACGGCCCAGACUCCUACGGGAGGCAGCAGUGGGGAAUCUUGCGCAAUGGGCGAAAGCCUGACGCAGCCAUGCCGCGUGAAUGAUGAAGGUCUUAGGAUUGUAAAAUUCUUUCACCGGGGACGAUAAUGACGGUACCCGGAGAAGAAGCCCCGGCUAACUUCGU